UGGGGAAUCUUAGACAAUGGGCGAAAGCCUGAUCUAGCCAUGCCGCGUGAGUGAUGAAGGCCUUAGGGUCGUAAAGCUCUUUCGCCAGGGAUGAUAAUGACAGUACCUGGUAAAGAAACCCCGGCUAACUCCGUGCCAGCAGCCGCGGUAAUACGGAGGGGGUUAGCGUUGUUCGGAAUUACUGGGCGUAAAGCGCACGUAGGCGGAUCAGAAAGUUGGGGGUGAAAUCCCAGGGCUCAACCCUGGAACUGCCUUCAAAACUCCUGGUCUAGAGUUCGAGAGAGGUGAGUGGAAUUCCAAGUGUAGAGGUGAAAUUCGUAGAUAUUUGGAGGAACACCAGUGGCGAAGGCGGCUCACUGGCUCGAUACUGACGCUGAGGUGCGAAAGUGUGGGGAGCAAACA
rnacentral:rRNA from 1 species